rnacentral:rRNA from 1 species
AACGAACGCUGGCGGCAGGCUUAACACAUGCAAGUCGAACGCCCCGCAAGGGGGGUGGCGGACGGGUGAGUAACGCGUGGGAACAUACCCUUUUCUACGGAAUAGCCCUGGGAUACUGGAAGUAAUACGUUAUACGCCCUACGGUGGAAAGGUUUAUCGGGUAAGGGUUGGCCCGCGGUGGAUUAGCUAGUUGGUGGGUUAAAUGCCUAGCAAGGCGACUAGCCAUAGCUGGUGUGAGAGGAUGAUCAGCCACAUUGGGACUGAGACACGGCCCAAAAUCCUACGCGAGGCAGCAGUGGGGAAUAUUGGCCAAUCGGCGCAAGCCUGAUCCAGCCAUGCCGCGUGAGUGAUGAAGGCCUUAGGGUUGUAAAGCUCUUUCACCGAUGAAGAUAAUGACGGUACUCGGAGAAGAAGCCCCGGCUAACUUCGUG